GGUUAAGCGACUAAGCGUACACGGUGGAUGCCCUGGCAGUCAGAGGCGAUGAAGGGCGUGCUAAUCUGCGAUAAGCGCCGGUAAGGUGAUAUGAACCGUUAUAACCGGCGAUACCCGAAUGGGGAAACCCAGUGUGACUCGUCACACUAUCAUUAACUGAAUCCAUAGGUUAAUGAGGCGAACCGGGGGAACUGAAACAUCUAAGUACCCCGAGGAAAAGAAAUCAACCGAGAUUCCCCCAGUAGCGGCGAGCGAACGGGGAGGAGCCCAGAGCCUGAAUCAGCAUGUGUGUUAGUGGAAGCGUCUGGAAAGGCGCGCGAUACAGGGUGACAGCCCCGUACACAAAAGCGCAUGUGCUGUGAGCUCGAUGAGUAGGGCGGGACACGUGGUAUCCUGUCUGAAUAUGGGGGGACCAUCCUCCAAGGCUAAAUACUCCUGACUGACCGAUAGUGAACCAGUACCGUGAGGGAAAGGCGAAAAGAACCCCGGCGAGGGGAGUGAAAAAGAACCUGAAACCGUGUACGUACAAGCAGUGGGAGCCCCACCACCAAAGCAUUUGCUGUACCGCGUUGACGGAGCGAAGCGACGUCAAACCGAUAAAACAGCAGUGUAAAGUGAGCCGCAGGGCGCUUUGCGCGACAGCGCAAAGGCAGGCGGUUUCGCGUAGCGAAAGCGAAUGCUUUGGGGUGGGGUGACUGCGUACCUUUUGUAUAAUGGGUCAGCGACUUAUAUUCUGUAGCAAGGUUAACCGAAUAGGGGAGCCGGAGGGAAACCGAGUCUUAAUUGGGCGUUAAGUUGCAGGGUAUAGACCCGAAACCCGGUGAUCUAGCCAUGGGCAGGUUGAAGGUUGGGUAACACUAACUGGAGGACCGAACCGACUAAUGUUGAAAAAUUAGCGGAUGACCUGUGGCUGGGGGUGAAAGGCCAAUCAAACCGGGAGAUAGCUGGUUCUCCCCGAAAGCUAUUUAGGUAGCGCCUCGUGAAUUCAUCUCCGGGGGUAGAGCACUGUUUCGGCUAGGGGGCCAUCCCGGCUUACCAACCCGAUGCAAACUGCGAAUACCGGAGAAUGUUAUCACGGGAGACACACGGCGGGUGCUAACGUCCGUCGUGAAGAGGGAAACAACCCAGACCGCCAGCUAAGGUCCCAAAGUCAUGGUUAAGUGGGAAACGAUGUGGGAAGGCCCAGACAGCCAGGAUGUUGGCUUAGAAGCAGCCAUCAUUUAAAGAAAGCGUAAUAGCUCACUGGUCGAGUCGGCCUGCGCGGAAGAUGUAACGGGGCUAAACCAUGCACCGAAGCUGCGGCAGCGACACUGUGUGUUGUUGGGUAGGGGAGCGUUCUGUAAGCCUGUGAAGGUGUGUCGUGAGGCAUGCUGGAGGUAUCAGAAGUGCGAAUGCUGACAUAAGUAACGAUAAAGCGGGUGAAAAGCCCGCUCGCCGGAAGACCAAGGGUUCCUGUCCAACGUUAAUCGGGGCAGGGUGAGUCGACCCCUAAGGCGAGGCCGAAAGGCGUAGUCGAUGGGAAACGGGUUAAUAUUCCCGUACUUGGUGUUACUGCGAAGGGGGGACGGAGAAGGCUAUGUUGGCCGGGCGACGGUUGUCCCGGUUUAAGCGUGUAGGUGUGUGUUCCAGGUAAAUCCGGUUCACUUUAACACUGAGGCGUGACGACGAGGCACUACGGUGCUGAAGCAACAAAUGCCCUGCUUCCAGGAAAAGCCUCUAAGCAUCAGGUAACAUCAAAUCGUACCCCAAACCGACACAGGUGGUCAGGUAGAGAAUACCAAGGCGCUUGAGAGAACUCGGGUGAAGGAACUAGGCAAAAUGGUGCCGUAACUUCGGGAGAAGGCACGCUGACACGUAGGUGAAGUGAUUUACUCAUGGAGCUGAAGUCAGUCGAAGAUACCAGCUGGCUGCAACUGUUUAUUAAAAACACAGCACUGUGCAAACACGAAAGUGGACGUAUACGGUGUGACGCCUGCCCGGUGCCGGAAGGUUAAUUGAUGGGGUCAGCGCAAGCGAAGCUCCUGAUCGAAGCCCCGGUAAACGGCGGCCGUAACUAUAACGGUCCUAAGGUAGCGAAAUUCCUUGUCGGGUAAGUUCCGACCUGCACGAAUGGCGUAAUGAUGGCCAGGCUGUCUCCACCCGAGACUCAGUGAAAUUGAACUCGCUGUGAAGAUGCAGUGUACCCGCGGCAAGACGGAAAGACCCCGUGAACCUUUACUAUAGCUUGACACUGAACAUUGAGCCUUGAUGUGUAGGAUAGGUGGGAGGCUUUGAAGUGUGGACGCCAGUCUGCAUGGAGCCGACCUUGAAAUACCACCCUUUAAUGUUUGAUGUUCUAACGUGGACCCGUUACCCGGGUUGCGGACAGUGUCUGGUGGGUAGUUUGACUGGGGCGGUCUCCUCC
rnacentral:rRNA from 1 species